rnacentral:lncRNA from 10 species
UGAACCCGGGAGGUGGAGCUUGCAGUGAGCCGAGAUCGCUCCACUGCACUCCAGCCUGGGCGACAGAGCGAGACUCCGUCUAAAAAAAAAAGCAAAAACAAACCAACAACAAAAGCCCCUGACUGUCCGUCAAGCAGGCAGCGGGGAUGUAGCUCUCUCUGCCCUGGGCAAGAAUAGCACUUCCCGUUAAAAGCCAGCAGCCGGCGUCAGUCCCUAUCAGAGCCAGCUAGAUCAUGCACUGUUGACCACUGAGCAAUCUGUGUUACACUAGAGUUCACAGGGCAUUUUGAGUGUAGACGUGAGUGCUUAAACAUAUUUGGGUUUCUCUCUCAGGUUUUAAAUGUUUCAAAUGUAAUUGUUGCUCAUCAGUGCAGUUAUCAAUGCAAUUUUAUAUUCCUUGAGGGGAGAAAGAGGGGUCUUAUUGUACAUGUCCAAGGGGGGUGAUAAGAGUAUUAUCUGUUUAAUUUAAUUGGAACAAACCAUUGUCUUAACGCAGCCAUGGUUUGAAUUUGUUAUCUUGGGCUGACCGGUGCAUGUAAAUACAGUAUGCUCUUUGGAUGUAAAUCUUAGAAAUGCAGUGUGAAUGUAGGUUAUCAUUAAUAAAAC